GAUAAACGCUGGCGGCGUGCCUUAUGCAUGCAAGUCGAACGGUCCUUCCCGCAAGGGAAGGAUAGUGGCGAACGGGUGAGUAACGCGUAAGUAACCUGCCCCCAAGUAGGGAAUAACUCUGAGAAAUUAGAGCUAAUACCAUAUGUGGUGAUGGAGAUAAUGCUUCAUCACCAAAGCCUUAGGGCGCUUAGGGAGGGGCUUGCGUCUGAUUAGCUAGUUGGUAGGGUAAUGGUCUACCAAGGCGAUGAUCGGUAGCUGGUUUGAGAGGACAUUCAGCCACACUGGGAUUGAGAUACGGCCCAGACUCCUACGGGAGGCAGCAGCAAGGAAUUUUGUGCAAUGGGCGAAAGCCUGACACAGCGACGCCGUGUGGGGGAUGAAGGCCUUCGGGUUGUGAACCCCUUUUCUUAGGGAAGAAUAAUGACGGUACCUGAGGAAUAAGUCGUGGCUAACUACGUGCCAGCAGCCGCGGUAAUACGUAGGCGGCAAGCGUUAUCCGGAUUUAUUGGGCGUAAAGAGGGCGUAGGCGGUUUUUCAAGUCGAUUGUGAAAUCUCCCGGCUUAACUGGGAGGGGCCAGUCGAUACUGUUAGACUAGAGGGCAGCAGGGGGAGGUGGAAUUCCCGGUGUAGUGGUGAAAUGUGUAGAUAUCGGGAGGAACACCAGUGGCGAAGGCGGCCUCCUAGGCUGUUUCUAACGCUGAGGCCCGAAAGCGUGGGGAGCAAACAGGAUCAGAUACCCUGGUAGUCCACGCUGUAAUCGAUGGACACUAGGUAUAGGGAGUAUCGACCCUCUCUGUGCCGAAGCUAACGCAUUAAGUGUCCCGCCUGGGGAGCACGGCCGCAAGGCUAAAACUCAAAGGAAUUGACGG
rnacentral:rRNA from 1 species